UUAUACCGGAUAGAUCAAAGAUACUGGAAUGUUCCUUGAUCCAAAGCUCCGGCGUCCAAGGAUGGAUCUGCGGCCUAUCAGGUAGUAGUGGGUGUAACGUACCUACUAGCCUACGACGGGUACGGGUUGUGAGAGCAAGAGCCCGGAGAUGGAUUCUGAGACAUGAAUCCAGGCCCUACGGGGCGCAGCAGGCGCGAAAUCUUUACAAUGCAGGAAACUGCGAUAAGGGGACCCCGAGUGCCAGCAUCUAAUGCUGGCUGUCCAGCUGUGUAAAUAGCAGUUGUUAGCAAGGGCCGGGCAAGACCGGUGCCAGCCGCCGCGGUAACACCGGCGGCCCGAGUGGUAACCGAUUUUAUUGGGUUUAAAGGGUCCGUAGCCGGCCUGUUAAGUCUCUUGGGAAAUCUGGCGGCUCAAUCGUCAGGCGUCC
rnacentral:rRNA from 1 species